UGGGGUGGGUUGUGGAAGAAAUCUGGGAGCUGCCUGAACAGUAGGUCCGGGAAACUGCUCCGCUGCACCGCCCUUGUUAUUCAGGCUGACGCUCCGCACCUCUGGGUGGCUUCCAGUUCCAGGACUGCGCCCCAGAGCUCCAGGGCAGAGGCUUCAGACCUGACUCCAGGUGAGAGUUUAAAAUGCAAUGGCCAGAAGACAAGAGACUAUCACUAGAAGAAUGUGGACAUGGACUCCAAGACUGCUAAUCCUGACAGUGCUCCUCGGGUGUCAGCAGGGAGAUGGGCAAGGUCAAGAAAGACUGGACCAGUCAACAUUACCACUUCUGGGAAUAUAUCCCGUGGAUGCAAAAAAGCACAGUAGAAAUGACAUCUGCACCUAUAUGUUCAUUGCAGCACUGUUCACAAUAGCCAAAAACUGGAAACAACCCAAG